rnacentral:rRNA from 1 species
CCUACGGGUGGCAGCAGUGAGGAAUAUUGGUCAAUGGGCGAGAGCCUGAACCAGCCAAGUCGCGUGAAGGAUGACGGCCCUACGGGUUGUAAACUUCUUUUGUCAGGGAGCAAUUGGGUCCACGCGUGGGCUUAGCGAGAGUACCUGAAGAAAAAGCAUCGGCUAACUCCGUGCCAGCAGCCGCGGUAAUACGGAGGAUGCGAGCGUUAUCCGGAUUUAUUGGGUUUAAAGGGUGCGUAGGCGGAAUAUCAAGUCAGCGGUAAAAAGUCGGGGCUCAACCCCGUCGUGCCGUUGAAACUGAUGUUCUUGAGAUGUCGAGAGGUAUGCGGAAUGCGCAGUGUAGCGGUGAAAUGCUUAGAUAUUGCGCAGAACUCCGAUUGCGAAGGCAGCAUACCGGCGGCGAUCUGACGCUGAGGCACGAAAGCGUGGGUAUCGAACAGGAUUAGAUACCCGAGUAGUC